rnacentral:rRNA from 1 species
AACGAACGCUGGCGGCAUGCCUAACACAUGCAAGUCGAACGAGAUCUUCGGGUCUAGUGGCGCACGGGUGCGUAACGCGUGGGAAUCUGCCCUUUGGUUCGGAAUAACAGUUGGAAACGACUGCUAAUACCGGAUGAUGACGAAAGUCCAAAGAUUUAUCGCCAGAGGAUGAGCCCGCGUAGGAUUAGCUAGUUGGUGUGGUAAAGGCGCACCAAGGCGACGAUCCUUAGCUGGUCUGAGAGGAUGAUCAGCCACACUGGGACUGAGACACGGCCCAGACUCCUACGGGAGGCAGCAGUGGGGAAUAUUGGACAAUGGGCGAAAGCCUGAUCCAGCAAUGCCGCGUGAGUGAUGAAGGCCUUAGGGUUGUAAAGCGCUUUCACCCGGGAUGAUAAUGACAGUACCGGGAGAAUAAGCUCCGGCUAACUCCGUGCCAGCAGCCGCCGUAA